rnacentral:rRNA from 1 species
CACGUAGGGUGCGAGCGUUGUCCGGAAUUAUUGGGCGUAAAGAGCUCGUAGGCGGUGUGUCGCGUCGGCCGUGAAAACCUGCAGCUUAACUGUGGGCUUGCAGCCGAUACGGGCAGGCUUGAGUUCGGUAGGGGAGACUGGAAUUCCUGGUGUAGCGGUGAAAUGCGCAGAUAUCAGGAGGAACACCGGUGGCGAAGGCGGGUCUCUGGGCCGAUACUGACGCUGAGGAGCGAAAGCGUGGGGAGCGAACAGG